GCGGGCGGGCGGCCGAAGGCGGGACCGGCCCCCGGCUGCUGAGGCUGGUCCUGAUGCGGAGAAUUACCCCUACCUGGGCGGGGCGAGGGUUUAUGCCGUGUUCCCGUGCCAGGGUCCUGUGACCUCCAGCACCUGCUCAAGGUGUCCUUCCGAGGAGGCUUUCGGACAUCCCAGACCCGGUCACUGUCCGCGACGGGUCUGCGGGAGCUGGGUGAGGGGCACCUGCAGUUUGCCGCUUCACCCCGCAUAUUGGGUGGACUGACAGGGCUGGUUUGUUUGUUUGUUGAGACCGGGUUUUUCUGUGUAGCCCUGGAUGCCCUGGAACUCGCUCUGCUGGCCUCGAACUCGGAGAUCCGCCUGCCUCUGCCUCCCGAGUGCUGGGACUAAAGCCGUGCGCCACCACCGCCUGGCUGACACGGCUAUUUUUAAUCGGAGGUAGGAUUUUAGUUUUUUAAACCAGGAAUCCCAGCUGACCUCGAACUCGGGGUCUCCCGGGUUUCUCUUCCAGUCUCCGCCUUCGGAGUUUCUAGGUUACUUUGAAAACGUUGACUGCUCCCUGGCUCAGGCCAUCUGGAGGGGCUCUGCCCUGGAGGAUUCCCUCUGAGCACUGACUCGCUUGGCAACGUGGAGCAAAACGGGAGGAAGCUGACAAAGUUUUCUCUCCGAGGGCAAGCAAGUACUGGAGGAAAUCACAAGCAGCCGUUCUCUUACCCACUCCUACCACUGCCGUUUUCUGAUCCACCCAUCGUCCUGAGGCAGUGAGAUUCGAGGAAGCUGGGACUGAGUCUGACACAGUGGCUUUUGCUCGGUCCUUUUUGCUUCCCUCGAGACAGGGUCUUGCUCUAUUGCCCAGUCUGGCCUUGAAGUCCAGUGGAGGCAACAUUCCUGCCUCAGCUUUGGUGGGUAGCUGGGACUGCAAGUGCGCAACGCUUGCUAUUACUGGGGCAGGCCUGACGGAGUUUUGUAGAUAAGAGUAACUUAAGAUGUGUGGAGUCAUUUUCUGCUGAUGACUUACCCACUGGAGCCAGAAAUCAAAGCUUCUGUUAGAACCUCUCAAAUAGCAAGCUCCCGCCGGGCGGUGGUGGUGCACGCCUUUAAUCCCAGCACUCGGGAGGCAGAGCCAGGCGGAUCUCUGUGAGUUCGAGGCCAGCCUGGGCUACCAAGUGAGUUCCAGGAAAGGCGCAAAGCUACACAGAGAAACCCUGUCUCGAAAAACCAAAAAAAAAAAAAAAAAAAAAAAAAAAAAAAUAGCAAGCUCCCCUGACUUGUUCCCUUGUUAUCUUUCCAUACGUGUUUCCACCAUUUUCUUGAUGGAAAGGCCCCAUACCCUCAACCAUCUUGUCAACCAUCUUGGUAGUCUCCGAUCCACCCCCACCUCCCUAGCGAGUCGUGUGUCGUCGUCGUCGCCGCCCCCCCCCCCCCCCCCCCCCCCCCCCCGACCAUUUUUCAAACUGCUGCUGGAGGGAUUGUUGAAAACGCAGUACCUCAGGAAAGAAGGUGCCGAGCAUCAGGUUUUGUGGUUGGUUGGUUGGAGGUUUUAUUGAGACAGGAUCUCUGCAGCCUCAUCUGGCCUCAGACCUACAGUGAGCUCUUGCCUGAGCAAGGAUUGUAAGGGUGAACCACUGUGCUUUAUUUGUUUCUAUUUCUCACUUACUCUAGUUUUUAAAAAGGUGUGUGUGUAUACGUGUGUAUGCUCCAUGUGUGUGGGUGCCCAAGGAGGCUGGAAAAGGACAUUGGUUCCCCUGUAACCUGAGUUAGACGUAGUUACAUGUUGCUGAAUGUGGGUGCUGGGAACGCAAAACUGAGGUCCUCUGGAAGAGCAAGCACCAAGCACUCUUAACCAUGGAGCCAUCUCUACACCGCACUGUUCUAAUAAGCUCCAAUUUUUAUGUGCAAUGUUCUUUGACCAUGACAUUGAAGACUAGAGUAAAAAAACAGCUUAACAUGAGGUCUUACAGAGCCAUAGCCUAGUACUUCUCCAGUAUACUAACUUUCCGGAGUACUGUCCGGUUCAACUAGAAACCUUGGAUGUCAUUUCUUAAACCUGUGUAUUCUCCCUGUGUAGACUGCUCACUCUGACAUUCUCUGCUUACCUGACUAGAGAACUCCACUCUGAACAGUGAGAUGACAGUUUUCACAGAAGUCCCUCUGUGCCUCUCCUCCCAGGUUUCUUUACAUCACUUUAUCUCGUUGUGGUGGUGUUUCUCGUGUAUUGCCUUUGUAAUGCUGAACUCCUUCCAAGACUAAUUUAUCUCUGUAUUUUUAGAACUUAGUGUUCUUGUAUGUAUGGGGCAGUUUAAAUACAUGUGCCUUGAACUGUUGUGGAAUAUUAUUUUAACUAGGCAAAGAUGUGUUCAUUUGUUUAUGCCGCAGACUAUUACUUUAACUGUGUAAAGGUGUGUUGCUUUUGUUUAUGAUGCAUUUUGUUUAACGAUGUAAGGAUGUGUGUUUAACUAUGUAAAGAUGUGUUGCAUCUGUUUCACCUUGCCUGCCUAAGGCACCUAAUUGAUCGAAUAAAAAGCUGAACAGCCAAUAGCUAGGCAGGAGAAAGGAUAGAUGAGGCUGGCAGGGAGAGAGAAUAAAUAGGAGAAAUCUAGGCUCAAGAGAAGAGGGAGAAAGAAGGAAGAGAGAAUUAGGGAGAUGCCAGCCAUACAGAAGCAGUGAAAUAAGAUAUACAGAAGGAAGAAAGGUAAUAAGCCCCGAGGCAAAAGGUAAAUAAAGAGAAACAGAUUAAGUUAAAAGAGCUAGCCAGAAAUGUGACUAAGCUAGGCCAAGCAUUCAAAACUAAUAAUAAGUCUCUGUGUCAUGAUUUGGGAGCCUGGUACAUUGAACAAGUUGGUUUGCUUUAUAUUCAUGAUGAGAGAUGGAGUUGUUACUAAACUACCUAUCUAGGGCCAGGUGAUGAGCAGUUGUAACAAGUCUUUUUCUGUCCUGCCAGCCAGCUCCCAAAUACCAACACAGAGACUUUGUAGUGGGUAGCCGUUCCAGCUUUGACUUGGAAGUGCCACCCCCAAUUGAGGCUUCAGUAACUGUCAUGCCUACAAGGCGGAGCCGAGAGAGGACCCUGAAGACCCGAGAUCCGGAUGGGCCGGCUCUCUCAGUUCCUGGAUCCUGGAUGCUGGAGGUACACUGAGUAGAGUUCUCCAGAGAACACCGCUGGACUGCGCUUCACCUUUCACAGACCCUGUAACCUAUCCCUUCACUUGUAAGUUACCCCAUAGAAUAAACCUCCCUUUUAACUACA